ACGAUUUCAUUUUACCUUGGUGUCUAUUUUCGGGUGUCUAUUUCAAAAAAUUGGUUUAGAUUUUUUAACUGUUGUUGCAAAGAACCUGAAGAAAAUGGUGGCCACGAGAGGACUCGAACCUCCGACCACUACCA
rnacentral:antisense_RNA from 12 species